rnacentral:rRNA from 1 species
AAUGAACGUUGGCGGCGUGGAUUAGGCAUGCAAGUCGCGCGGAAAGGCCCCGCAAGGGGCGCUCGAGCGGCGAAAGGGAUAGUAACACGUGGAUUACCUACCUCCAGGACGGGGAUAGCUGCGGGAAACUGCAAUUAAUACCCGAUGACGUCUUCGGACCAAAGGUGUGAUUCCGCCUGGAGACGGGUCCGCGUCCUAUUAGCUAGUUGGCAGGGUAACGGCCUACCAAGGCUCAGAUGGGUAGCGGGUGUGAGAGCACGACCCGCAUCACUGGGACUGAGACACUGCCCAGACACCUACGGGUGGCUGCAGUCGAGGAUCUUCGGCAAUGGGCGAAAGCCUGACCGAGCGACGCCGCGUGCGGGAUGAAGGCCUUCGGGUUGUAAACCGCUGUCAGUGGGGAGGAAAUACUGGUGGGAACACCCUCCAGUUUGACCUAUCCGCAGAGGAAGGACGGGCUAAGUUCGUGCCAGCCGCCGCUGUAAUAC